rnacentral:tRNA from 1 species
UCUAAAGUCCUAAAAUUUAGGGUUAAUGUUUCGGCCGUUAAUUUGUGAUAAAUAUUCACCUUUGGGU